UUAUUAUUUGAAGAAUUUUUUACAAGAGAGCCGUCUGCAGCGGGUUUAAUUAUAAGGCGGGUCCACCAAGUCCUGAGGAAGUUGCCGCGCGUAAUAACCUUGUAUGUGUGUUUAGACGUGCCUCGCCCGAUGCAUCGCGGCUAUGAGUUCGUUUAAAGGGGCGCAUCGAAUUGAUUCGUUCGGCAAUUUCCCUGCGAAUCGGUUGGCUCUGUGUGACGGACAGCGGAGUCUUAGUAAUAGUACCUUCAUUGUACCGAAAGGUUUGGGACACCUACGCUAGCCCGAUCCGAUAAGGGCUUCACCUUCUAAAUAUGCUUACACGCUUAAUGCACACUUCAAUGAGUCUCUAUUACUUAUUAAGCCGUACACGAUGAUAAAAUGUAAAAUAAAUCAAUUUGCACGACACCUAUUUUAAUAUCGAUAAAUUAGUCAUAGUAUAAGGUUUUCGUUCAUAUGCGUAAGUACGGUUGCAGUGAAAUUAGUAGGUAUCUCCCACACGUCGGCAGCGGUACUUAAAAUGAUUGUGUUUUUCUUGAUGGCUCUAUUGGCGCUCGGCCCCACCGAGGCCAGACCGAAAGGCAGAUGCAUCUGCAACUGGUUGAAGUGCGACCAGCCCGUCUGCGCCAGCAACCACGAGACCUUCGAUUGCAUGUGCCAACUGAACUGCCGGAACUAUUACUCGGAACAUCAAAACUCACUUCACAAGCUCUACGACGGGGAGUGCUAUGCCGACAAAUAAAAUGGCAAUAGUGUCGAAAUUAUUUAUUAUUAUAACUACACAAGAUAAAUUAAAUUAAGAAUUUUUUGACUUUUGA